rnacentral:lncRNA from 1 species
AUGGUUCCAUCUCCACAGCAAGAAACUACAAAUGUAUUCAUCACUUGGACUCAUUCUGUCUUGCACAGGAUCAGUCAAGCGGGCAGAGGAGGAGCCAGUAAAUGCUUUGGCCGCUCAACAUUUCUCAGUCAUUUUCUUUUCCUGCUGACCUACUGGAAAAAGAAGAUGUUCUCUGCUCCAGAAGCCUUCUAUUUCAAUCAAACUCCUCCAGACUCCCUCACAAGCUGCCUCAGGACUGAAGCCUCGAGCCAGCAUGAAGCCGAGCUCCAUCGAUCGAUCUGUCUUAAUCGCUUGGGAAGAAUGCUCAAUAAAGGCUUACCCUCUCUUUACUUAAAUUCUAUCAAUUGCUUUAAUUAGGAAGCAUUGUAAGUGCUCGACUAUUUAUUUCCCAGGAACUGAGAGCCUCUCAGAUUCCUUUCAAAUGGCAAUGAAGUGAGAGACCUGUUUGUGACUAAAAAUCCUGGUGGGAUCCAGUAGAAAGCUUUAGUAGAGAACUCUUCUUAAAGAUGCUUUCUCAAGGAGAUGAAACCGGAUGGGGCCAGGUUUCCAGCUCAGGGAACGUGAGCUCUUUCUUCUUCUUGGCCUAGUGGAAAUCAGUUAAUCAAUCAAUGGUAUUUACUGAGUGCUUACUGUGUGCAGAGCACCGUACUAAGCACUUGGGAGAGUACAACGUAACAAUAUAACAGAGCUGGUAGACACAUUCUCUGCACAACGAUGAGUUUACAGUGCUGUUUUCUUCCAACGAUAUCCCCCUUUCUGUACAGAGGGGCCUUGUCAGAACACUGUUUCCUAUGUUCCUAUCAGUCGAUCCGUUGUAUUUAUUGAUGUGCAGAGCAAUGAUGAUGAUGAUGAUGUUGGUAUUUGUUAAGCGCUUACUAUGUGCAGAGCACUGUUCUAAGCGCUGGGGGAGACACGGGGGAAUCAGGUUGUCCCACGUGGGGCUCACAAUCUUAAUCCCCAUUUUACAGAUGAGGUAACUGAGGCCCAGAGAAGUUAAGUGACUUGCCCACAGUCACACAGCUGACAAGUGGCAGAGCUGGGAUUCGAACUCAUGACCUCUGACUCCAAAGCCCAUGCUCUUUCCAGCGCUUGGGAGAAUGCAAUACAACAGAAUUAGUAGACACGUUCUCUGUCCAUGACAAGCUUACGAAUAGCCUUUAACACUAAACUUGUACUAGAAGACUGCCUUAAAAAAGAGCUGGAAGAAUUACAAUUUUAUUUGUAACAAUUGUAAUGUGAAUAGGUUUGGGGUGCCCAUCACCACAACACCACAUAAACCACAACAGUGGCCACGAGGCCUUCCCCGACCAAGCCCUCAUUUCUCCCAUAUGCUCUCCCUUCCUCUAUGCUUAUGCGUUAGUUUCCUUACCCCUUAAGCACUUGAUAUUCUUUCCCAACUCCAGACCCGAAGCACUUAUGUACUUUUACUCUCCCAUUCCUCAAUCAAUAAUGCAUUUUAGUAUCAGUCUCCUCCAUUUGGCGGUGAGCUCUUUGUGGACAGGGAACGCAACUACCAACUCUAUGUACCUUUAUUUAUUUAUAUUCACGUCUGUCUCCCCUUCUAGACCGGAAGCUCGUUGUGGGCAGGGAAUGUGUCUCUUUAUUGUUACUCUGUACUCUCCCAAGUGCUUAUUACAGUGCUGUGCACGUAAUAGGAGCUCAAUAAAUACGAAUGAAUGAAAUUAAUGUACCGUUCCCU